GAUGAACGCUGGCGGCGUGCCUAAUACAUGCAAGUCGAGCGAACAGACGAGGAGCUUGCUCCUCUGACGUUAGCGGCGGACGGGUGAGUAACACGUGGAUAACCUACCUAUAAGACUGGGAUAACUUCGGGAAACCGGAGCUAAUACCGGAUAAUAUAUUGAACCGCAUGGUUCAACAGUGAAAGACGGUUUUGCUGUCACUUAUAGAUGGAUACGCGUCGCAUUAGCAAGUUGGUAAGGUAACGGCUUACCAAGGCAACGAUGCGUAGCCGACCUGAGAGGGUGAUCGGCCAGCCUGGAACUGAGACACGGUCCAGACUCCUACGGGAGGCAGCAGUAGGGAAUCUUCCGCAAUGGGCGAAAGCCUGACGGAGCAACGCCGCGUGAGUGAUGAAGGUCUUCGGAUCGUAAAACUCUGUUAUUAGGGAAGAACAAAUGUGUAAGUAACUAUGCACGUCUUGACGGUACCUAAUCAGAAAGCCACGGCUAACUACGUG
rnacentral:rRNA from 1 species